UACGAAGGGGGUUAGCGUUGUUCGGAAUUACUGGGCGUAAAGCGCACGUAGGCGGAUAUUUAAGUCAGGGGUGAAAUCCCGGGGCUCAACCCCGGAACUGCCUUUGAUACUGGGUAUCUCGAGUCCGAGAGAGGUGAGUGGAAUUCCGAGUGUAGAGGUGAAAUUCGUAGAUAUUCGGAGGAACACCAGUGGCGAAGGCGGCUCACUGGCUCGGUACUGACGCUGAGGUGCGAAAGCGUGGGGAGCAAACAGG
rnacentral:rRNA from 1 species